rnacentral:lncRNA from 1 species
AUCACGUUUGCAUAUCAAUAUAAGAAACUACGGAAACUAAACUUGACUGCCGCUGCUGUCAGAAGAAACACGCAGAUAAUAGUCCUACUUCGACCAGCAAACAUGACGUUUACAAUUAGGCUUACUUAUGGGAUUUUUUGUUUGGUUGUCACGACAAUCGCUUCUGCAGCCUCAAACGAGACUUCAUCAGCUCUGACCUGCAACGUCACCGUGCAACCUGAUGGGUUGUGCGUCUACCAGCUGUCCCGGGUGCCCAAUUUGUCCAAUUCUGUGUCAUGGUGUGGGACAAGCUGGGAGCAACGGAACAGAACUGUCAUCGUUCACACCCACAAUGGUAAGGACCCUGUGUUCGACAUAAAUCUCGUCCAAAAUCUAACCGACUGGUCUGUCACCUUGAAACACUGCCACCCCUACCUGCGCUACAAAAUGGACUGCGAGACCGUGGAGGAAGCUGUCUGCACCGUCAACUGCAGCGCUGUCUUGGAUCUCAAGGACUUGGAUCCCCCAACCACUGUGAACGCCACGCUGAUCUGCUUCACUGAGAAUUUGUGUCUGUCCCUUCUGGCGCUAGGUCUGUGUGUCAGCAGUCUUCUUGUUCUUGGAGUCGCCGUCUUUGGGGGUUGGUACUUCUGGAAAACUGGAAAAUGCACAAGACGAGAAUCUGCGGAAAUGAGCGCUUCAUACACUCCUGCAAAAAACCAGAUUGUAUAA